GACGAACGCUGGCGGCGUGCCUAAUACAUGCAAGUCGAGCGGAAGUUGAAGAGCUUGCUCUUCAACUUUAGCGGCGGACGGGUGAGUAACACGUGGGCAACCUGCCCUGCAGAUCGGGAUAACUCCGGGAAACCGGUGCUAAUACCGAAUAGUUUUCGCCACCUCCUGGUGGCGUACGGAAAGACGGUUUCGGCUGUCACUGCAGGAUGGGCCCGCGGCGCAUUAGCUAGUUGGUGGGGUAACGGCCCACCAAGGCGACGAUGCGUAGCCGACCUGAGAGGGUGAUCGGCCACACUGGGACGGAGACACGGCCCAGACUCCUGCGGGAGGCAGCAGUAGGGAAUCUUCCGCAAUGGACGAAAGUCUGACGGAGCAACGCCGCGUGAGUGACGAAGGUUUUCGGAUCGUAAAACUCUGUUGUGAGGGAAGAGCAAGUACCAACUAACUACUGGUACCUUGACGGUACCUCACCAGAAAGCCACGGCUAACUACGUGCCAGCCGCCGCGGUAAUAC
rnacentral:rRNA from 1 species